rnacentral:lncRNA from 8 species
GGGGAAUGGUGGAGAGGGGUGUGGUGGAGAGGUGGAGAGGUGGAGAGGGGGAAUGGUGGAGAUGGGGAAUGGUGGAGAGGUGGAGAGGUGGAGAGGGGUGUGGUGGGAGAGGGUGAAUGGUGGUGAGGGGGAGAGGGGGAUGGGGAGUAGGGGUUGGGAAGUCGGGGAGGGGGAGAGGUGGAGUGGUGGAGAGGGGGAGAGGUGGGAGUACAGCAGGCUAUGUGGAGCUAGCUUCCUCCUUACUGAAUUUCAGCAAUGCCCUGAGAGAGAAUAUUAAUAGUAGUAAUAAUAAUAAUAAUAAUAGUAGUAGUAGUAGUAGCAGUAGCAGUAGCAGUAGUAAUAGUAGUAGUAGUAGUAGUAAUAAUAAUAGUAGUACUAGUAGUAGUAGAAGUAGUAAAAGUAAUAGUAAUAGUAGCAAUAAUAAUAAUAAUAAUAAUAAUAAUAAUAGUAGUACUAGCAGUAGUAGUAAUCAUAAUAAUAAUAAUAAUAGUACUAGUAGUACUACUAGUAGUAGUAAUAAUGAUAUUAAUAGUAGUACUAGUAGUAGUAAUAGUAGUAGUAGUAGCAAUAAUAAUAGUAGUCCCAGUAGUAGCAGUAAUAUUAAUAGUAGUAAUAUUAAUAGUAAUAGUAGUAGGUGUAGUAGUACUAGUAGUAGGAGUAGUAGUAGUAGUAGUAGUAGUAGUAAUAAUAGUAGUAGUACUACUAGUAGUAGUACUAGUAGUAGUAGUAAUAAUAACAAUAGUAGUACUACUAUUAGUAGUAAUAAUAAUAAUAGUAGUACUAGUAGUAGUAGUAGUAGUAGUAGUAAUAAUAUGAAUAGUAGUAGUAGUAAUAGCAAUAGUAGUAGUAGAAAUAUUAAAAGUAGUAAUAGUAAUAAUAGUAGUACUAGUAGUAGUAGUAGUAGUAGAAGUAGUAAUAAUAAUAAUAGUAGUACUAGUAGUAGUAGUAGUAGUACGAGUAAUAGUAGUAGCAAUAAUAAUAAUAGUAGUGCUAGUAGUAGUAGUAGUAAUAGUAAUAGAAGUAGUAGCAAUACUAAUAAUAAUACCAGUAGUAAUAGUAGUAGUAAUAAUAAUAUUAAAAGUAGUAGUAGUAAAAGUAAUAUGAGUAGUAAAAAAAUAUAUAAUAAUAGUACUAGUAGUAAU